rnacentral:rRNA from 1 species
CUCAGAACGAACGCUGGCGGCGUGCUUAACACAUGCAAGUCGAACGAGAACGGGUUUCUUCGGAAACCUUAUUAAAGUGGCGCACGGGUGAGUAACACGUAGAUAAUCUACCCUGGUGUCUGGGAUAACUGACCGAAAGGUUCGCUAAUACCUGAUACGUUCACUUUACCGCAAGGUAGAGUGAAGAAAGAUGGCCUCUUCUUGAAAGCUAUCGCACCUAGAUGAGUUUGCGUACCAUUAGCUAGUUGGUGGGGUAAGAGCCUACCAAGGCUACGAUGGUUAGCGGGUCUGAGAGGAUGAUCCGCCACACUGGAACUGGAACACGGACCAGACUCCUACGGGAGGCAGCAGUGAGGAAUUUUGCGCAAUGGGGGAAACCCUGACGCAGCGACGCCGCGUGGACGAUGAAGGCCUUAGGGUUGUAAAGUCCUGUCAGUAGGGAAGAAAUGCAUAAUGAUUAAUACUCAUUAUGUUUGACGUACCUACAAAGAAGCACCGCUAACU